ACUUUGGGAGUGUCUGAACCUAACGACCAGUCGGACAGGGUAGCAGUGCCCGGGACCCAUAGAUAUCGCGACCCCACCCCAAAGAACUAGGUAGAAUGGUCUCUGGUCCAGAGCCACGCUCUCCUGGCCCUUAAGGUCCCGGAAACACCUUCAAUUGGCCACAAGGUAGCCCGUAGCAGCUCUAGUGGUGAUUGGCCUUCCCUUGACAAGUGCCGCCUACUGGGACCGCCCCAUCUGCCCGCUGUCCCUGAAUUACCUGUCAGUGGCUUGUCUGCUCUGCACCUAACUCCACGCCGCCGGGCUGAGGGAUGCCAGGUCGGGACCCUGCCAGAUCCAGAAAACUGGCUGAAGCAAUGGCAGCUCCAGGGAUACCACCUCCCUUAACCCCAGAGGCAGCUGGGACCGUCUCCGGGGGAGGGCGUGGGGAACCCAAGCAGCUACCUGAGCUGAUCCGCCUGAAACGAGAUGGAGGGCAUCUGAGUGAGGCAGACAUCAGGGACUUCGUGCAUGCAGUGAUGGAUGGCAGUGCACAGGACACACAAAUCGGGGCCAUGCUGAUGGCCAUUCGGCUGCAGGGCAUGGACCUAGAGGAGACCUCUGUGCUGACUCAGGCCCUGGCAGACUCUGGGCAGCAACUGGAGUGGCCCAAGGCCUGGCACCAGCAGCUUGUGGAUAAACACUCCACAGGAGGUGUGGGCGACAAGGUCAGCCUGGUUCUGGCACCUGCCCUGGCUGCAUGUGGCUGCAAGGUGCCAAUGAUCAGUGGACGUGGUCUGGGGCACACAGGGGGCACACUGGACAAGCUGGAGUCUAUUCCUGGGUUCAAUGUCACCCAGAGCCCAGAGCAGAUACUGCUCUUACUGGAGGAAGUGGGCUGCUGUAUUGUUGGCCAGAGUGAGAAGCUGGUCCCUGCUGAUGGAAUCCUGUAUGCUGCCCGAGACGUGACAGCUACUGUGGACAGCGUGCCACUCAUUACAGCAUCAAUCCUCAGUAAGAAGGUCGUGGAGGGACUGUCCACUCUGGUGGUAGAUGUUAAGUUUGGGGGGGCUGCAGUCUUCCCAGACCAGGAGCAGGCCCGAGAGCUGGCAAAGACAUUGGUUAGCACAGGAGUGGGCCUGGGGUUGCGGGUCGCAGCAGCCCUGACCGCCAUGGAUGACCCUCUGGGCCGCAGCGUGGGUCAUACCCUGGAAGUGGAAGAAGCACUGCUUUGUCUGGACGGUGCGGGGCCGCCGGACCUACGGGACCUGGUCAUUAGGCUAGGGGGCGCCAUCCUUUGGCUUAGCGGACAGGCGGAAACCCAAGACCAGGGCGCCGCCCGAGUGGCCGCGGCGUUGGAUGACGGCUCUGCGCUGCGCCGCUUCCAGCUGAUGCUUUCGGCGCAGGGCGUGGACCCCGGCCUAGCCAGAGCCCUGUGCUCCGGGAGCCCCACGCAACGCCGCCAGCUGCUGCCCCACGCCAGAGAACAAGAGGAGCUGCUCGCACCGGCAGACGGUGAGACCGGAUAUGCCUGGCCAGGCCCCACCCACUUCCUCUCCGCGUCUUUUCUUUCCCGGUCCUGCCCUCGUGCGUCCGCCCGCCGCUCCUCAGCGACAGUCUUCUCCCUUAGGCACCGUGGAGCACGUCCUGGCGUUGCCGCUGGCCCGUGUGCUUCACGAGCUCGGGGCCGGACGCAGCCGAGCGGGGCAGCCGAUCAGGCCGGGAGUGGGUGCCGAGCUGCUGGUCGACGUGGGUCAGUGGCUGCACCGCGGUACACCCUGGCUCCGCGUACACCUGGACGGCCCCGCGCUCAGCGGCCAGCAGCGCCGCGCUCUACAGGGGGCGCUCGUGCUGUCGGACCGCGCACCCUUCAAGGCCGCUUCGCCCUUCGCUGAACUAGUCCUCCCCCCGACCAUCGCACAGCCCUAAAUCCGACCCCACCGUAGGCAGAGGCUUCAGGUCCAUGGUGCUACUGGCUCUAGGGCCCAAAGCUUGGCCCAGGCUCUCUCCGUUCAAACCUCGAGUCCUUCUCCGGAUCCCAGGAAGUGAAACUCUGUAUGUAAAGUCCCGACACUUGUCAGGGCAGGGCCAGCCCCAAGGCCCUGGCCUAAGAACUAGGCUGCUGAUCACUGCCCUGUUUGGGGCUGGACUGGGCUGGGCCUGGCUGACAGCAAGAGCUGAGAAGGAGCAGUGGCGCCAACAGCAGCGGACCGAGGCCCUGCGCCAGGCUGCUGUGGGUCAGGGUGACUUCAGCCUACUGGACCACCACGGCCAGCCUCGAUGCAAAGCUGACUUCCGAGGCCAGUGGGUCCUGAUGUACUUUGGCUUCACUCACUGCCCUGACAUCUGCCCCGAUGAGCUGGAGAAGCUGGUGAAGGUGGUACAGAAGCUAGAGGCAGAGCCUGAUCUGCCUCUGGUACAACCCGUCUUCAUCUCUGUGGACCCCGAGCGGGAUGACGUAGCAGCCAUGGCCCGGUAUGUGCAGGACUUCCACCCAAGGCUGCUGGGUCUGACUGGUUCUAAAGAACAGGUGGCCCAGGCUAGCCGCAACUACCGUGUGUACUACAGCGCUGGUCCCAAGGACGAGGACCAGGACUAUAUUGUGGACCACUCCAUUGCCAUCUACUUGCUCAACCCAGAUGGUCUCUUCACAGACUACUAUGGGCGGAGCAGGUCAGCAGAGCAGAUUGUAGAGAGUGUACGUCGGCACAUAGCUGCCUUCCGUAGCAUCCUGCCCUGAACUAUGCUACCUAAGCCCUGUCAAUAAAUGAAUGUACUUAA